AAAGACUAGGAUUUAAAGGGGGAGAGAAAAAGAAAGCAUUUCAUAUUUUAGAUUUAUUUGAUAGAGAUGGCAUUCAAAACCACAUCUUUCCUCCACAUUUUGAAUUUAAAUUGGGGGUUAGGAAGUUGUUCCUUUUAAAAAUUCACCCACCACUAUAUAUAUUUGAUUUGUUUUUCAAGGGUUGCUAACAAAAGCCUACAAGGUUUUCUAUUCAUAAUCAUUGGAGCCAUAAAUCUAUGGCACACAAUGUGUGACACUGAGAAAAAUUUGAUCAGAAAGCCUUGUUCAGAUAAAUUUGUUAGUGAUUUACCAAAACAAUGGUUAAUUAGGGGAUUUUUAAAAGUACUUAACUCUGUAUGAAAAUAGGUUAGAGUAGUAAAAACAUCAAUUUUCAAAGGUCGUGAUUUUUUUUUUCCGACAUAAUUUUCUUUAGUUUUCUUUACCAAUACAGGUUGCAGUUCCUCCAUGUUUUUGAAAUGCUCACGAGUUGUUUUUACCUUAUUAAACUGAUUUUUAAGAGAGGAUUCUUAGAUCGGAGAAAGUGACUUGUACCUAAUAUAUGUAAGAGACAGACUUCUAGGAUGCUCAUCAGUGAGUUUAAAAUUUUGUUUUGCUGACAGUAUAGAAUAAAUAGCAGUACACAUUACAAGCAUAUAAAAAUAAAAUACAAGAAAUCACAAACCAGUACAUGAUUAACUGCAAGAGAAACAAUAACUUGAAUUAUCACUAUUGGACCAGAAUAGUUUGGGAAACCUCUGCAGAUCUAGAAUGUGGAUAACAUUUAAGUAAAUUGAAAGGACAGUUUUUUUUUUUUUUUGAAUAGUCCAGUUUGUUUUAUUCUUGUUUUUGUGCAGCUGAUUAUGUCCACCUUUCCGAAAAAUCACAAUAUUUUUAACCUAAGUUAAAAAUAACUUAACCUGUAGUUAACCAGUUAUAUAGCAACUAGGGUGACCAGCUUUGCUAAGCAGAAGUAUAAAGCUGACUGCACUUACUGAGUCUCAGGUGAGUAGUCAAAACUAUGUAAACAGGCAUGUUUGAUUAUCCUAACUCUGAGAUACCUUUAUGAAUAGCCAAACUUAAGAAUCUUAACCAGCCCAAUGACAUGAAGAUUACCCCCAAAAAUUGACCUAGGUCAUUAAUGUUCUUAAAACUACAAAUGCUGUUUAUUUUGUUGGUAAGGCAAUUGGGGUUGUGACUUACCCAGAGCCACUGCUGAUUAUUUCUUAAAAGUUUUUUUUUUUUUUUGAGGAAUCCAAAGUCCAAGUCCCAAAAUGUGGACAUUUAAAUCAAAUGAGAUUAUGCAAGUGAAGCACUAUAUGAAAAGAUCAAAGGAUCAUAAAUUUAAAGCUGGAAGGGAUCUUAGAAGUCACCUAGUGAAAUAUUUAAUUGUGCAGAUGGAAAAAGUCUCAAAAGCAUUCAAAAUCCAGGUUCUGACUCCAAAAUCUAGGGUUUGUAUCACACUAGUUGGGGCUCUUACUAGUGAGUGGCAGAGUGCCACAAUAAUAUGCCAGAACUUGUGUGAGGAGUGAGUCACUAAUGAAUAAAGGAAAAUAAAAAGUCAAGGUUACCAAGACUUUAGAAAAAAGUAUAUAUAUUUUAUUUUAACUAUAUUGUUUUAUGAGUUUUAUUAUGUCCCUCUUGUUCCUGAUCUUUAGCUGGGAAACACACAGGACACAAGCUACAUACAUAUGAAGUGCUCUUUAAGAAUCAUGGGAUUUCAGAGAAGGGAUUUUUGGCAGUAUCCAGUCUAAACGUCUUACUUCACAGAAAUAGAGCUCCUGGCUUUGAAGCUUCAAGGCCCAGAUAAAACUCUAUGAGAAGUCCUUUGAUCAUCAAUAUGAAUGCCUUCCAUCAUUCACUCGGGUGUGGUUGUGUGUAUAAAAUCUUGUUUGAAUCUAUUCUGCCAUAAUUUGAUACCUGCAUUUUCAAAAAGCAAAAUUGCAACUAUAAACCACAGGACUUAUGAGGGAAAUGAGGUUAAGGACACACAAUACUUACAAAUUUUGUCAGUGAUACAUCAAUAAAAAGAAUCUAUAAAUGGUUGCAUAAUUUUAUAUCUGCUCAAUGGUUGAGAAAUGUACAAAUAUGUUAAAUAGCAGUUCCCAGGAAGCUUAAGCUAGCAGUGUCACUAGCCCUCUUCUACUUUGCAAGCUCUUCCUACACGAGAGAUACCCAAUAAACAUGGCAUCCAUGUUUAACCAAGAUCCCAAAAUCCACGUUAAGGAUGGUACUUUAAUAUCACAGUAUUCUACAUUUUCUCUCUAUAUACAUACAUACUUGCCAAAUAUGCAUAUUAUAUAAAUUAUACACAUACAGAUCUAUAUUCUAGGAAAAUGGAGAUUGGAAUACUAAUUACUACAAACGUUAAGUUCCAUAGUCAUAAUCUGCAUAUUAGAAUUUGGAAAAUUCCUUUCUCUGAAAAGUUGCAGUGGUUUUCUUGGUGCUCAUCUUUUCUCCUCAGCCAGCCACUGGCCCACUCCCUGCAUCACUGGAUUGUCUGUCUCUGCUCCUCCCUGCCUCCUUCAUAUUUUGUAUCACCUAUCCUUUGAAGUCACAAAGAAACCUCAAUAGUCGACUUGCCUUCAUUGGGAAAAUUGGUAUCCCCCCAAAAAUGUUCCUGGCUACUCUAUAUUUUUUAAAGUUUGCUUCUCUUAUCACAAUCUCAGAACAUUAAAGUGACAUUCUCCUACUUCCCCAAAACAAAUUUCUAUAGCACUUAUCUGGUCCUUAAAAAACAAGACUAAUAUAUUUGAGAUGUUUUGUAUUUACAAUUGAUGAAGGCAGCCCUGAAUAUUAAUAAAGGUGAAAAUUUGUCACAUCACAUUUUCGUUGUCCCAGUUCUAACCUGCCUAUGUAAUCUGAAUAAUCCUAUCCUGGUAAUAAUUCUCAACUCCAAGCCUUUACUUACUGUUUCCAGUUGGAAUGUUGUCUUUUUACCUUUUAAUAAAUCCUACCAAUUCAGUCAAGCCACUCCUCCAGACCUUUGUAAAAGGGACUUUUGAGGUCUUUAUCUGGUCCAAAAAUUUGAGAUCUAAGUGAUGUACUUAAUGUUAUAUGGUUAAUAAGUGGCAGAACUGAGUAAGAGUAUAUGAUAUAAUUAUCAUGGCAUUGUUCUUGAGUAACGAAUACUUAAAAUAUUUUAUCUUGUAACCUCUGAGGGCCUAGCAUGAACAUAACAUACCUAUAUUCAGACAUGAGAAGCACUAUGCGCUAUGGAUUAGUAGUUCCUGUUCUCAUGGACGGAAACAUACAGAAAUUCUAGAUAAAUGCAUAGUAAUUUUUAGAAGAGUAUUGUAGAGAGGUUAACUUUUGAACCUUUUUGAUUGAGAGGGAAAAGGUGAGGAAAGACGAGGAUCAGUGCUUAUAUAAAGGGAUGGCAAUAGGAGACACAAUGUGUGUACAAGGAAUAGGCAAUUUCCCAGUUUGGCUCAGUGAAACUUUAAUUGAUAUCUAGCCCAACCUGAUAUGCCAGGCAGAAUAAUUAAUUGCCUUUCACUAUUACAUCCUAGCAGAAUCACUUUCAGGUUGAGUAUGUAAUAGGUAAAAGAUACGAAGAGGUGAUCAAAAAAUCCUAAUAGGACAAGGUAUUUUCCUUAAUGUUCACUGGUUUCAGAUUUUUCCUUUCAGCAGAUUAGAAGUGCUCACCUUCAGAGAAGUUUUAAUAGCCCACAACUCCCCUCCUCCCCCCCCCCCCAAUUAAAAAGAGUAUUAUGACUUUACUGAGAAAAAGUGGUCUUAGAUUAAGUAAACUAAAACUUUACUUCUGUACACAGAAUAAUGAAAUUUCAGCUCUAGGAUCAGCUAGAUGGUACAGUAGAUAGGGUGCUGGACCUGUAAAUGGGAGAUUUUGUCUCAGAUACUUAUUGGCUGUGUGACCUAGAGGAAUAAUUUAACCUAUUCAACCCAAGUUUCCAUAGCAGUAAACUCUCACAAGGUUGUGAGGAGGAUACAGUGAAAUAAUUGUAAAGAUUUGCGUUGCAAACCUUUAAGCUCUAUAUAAAAAUGCCAGCUUCCUAAGGCUCACCCCUUCACCUAAACUUUCUCUAAUUUACAAGGCUGGAAUGCUCCCUCAUCUCCGCAUACUCAUUUCCCCGGCUUCCUUCAAGUUGAAAUACAAAAAUCUUUUCCAAUAUCUUGAUUCUAGUAACUUUUAAUUAUUUUCUAUUUUGUAUGACUUCUUGCAUGUCUCUUUCCCAAUAGAUUGUGAGCUCUUUGAGGGCAGGGGCUGUUUGCUUCUUUGUAUCUCUAGCACUUAGCCCAGUGCCUGGCACAAUGAUAUUUCAAAUUUGUAGGUUUUGUUGGUCAUUGCAGAUAGAAAACAGUUGGCCACUAUUUUUUGUAUGCCACCUGGAAAUGACUUAAAGUCAAUACUCAUAAGUCAUCUGAUCUUCUAUUGAGACUGUAGGUCCAUUUAAAUCAGUGUGCUUAAUUUAAAGCAAGGCAGACUAAUCUAAUUCAGCAGUACUAGCUUCAGCAUAAGAGUAUUAAAUAUUUUUUAACAAAGUUACAGGGUACCCAGUAAUAGCUUGCUUUGAGUUACUUCUAUUUAUAAUGCCUAGCUGUUUAAUAUUUCCCUGGUCUCUUUAGUAACUACAACCUUAUGAAGAAAAAAAUGUGGCUAUUUUAUGAGGUUUAUAUUGAUAUUCUUAAGUGAAAAAUAACCCUAAAUCAUGCUAGGCAGCAAUUUACUGCAUAUAGUAAUUAUAGUAAAAAGUCAAAAAAUCUAUGUAUGUUAAAAUUUGACUACUGUUUUGCCAGAAUAAAAAAUGGCCUAGUGGUAUUAAGUCCCUCCACACAAUUUACUGCAAAGAGGGGUUCAGCCAUACUGGUUCACUUGCCACCAACUCCUAAUGCCUUUUUACUGGCUGUCCACUCAAUCUGGAAUAAUCCAUCCCUCUUCUCUUCUGCCUGGGAGAAUCCCUGAUUUUUUGCAAGACUCCCGAGGCUCCUGUACACCUACUGCUGGUCUUUCCUGAUUUCUGCCCUGAUGCUUUCUCCAAACAGCUCACAUGAGAAUUGUCACAAACGUGCUUUUCAUAUCAGAAUGUCAACUGCUUGCGGGGCAGGAACCCUUUCACAAUUGCUUCUGUAUCCAAGUGUAUGAGAACUACAUGGAACACAGUAGAUGUUUAAUAAAUACUUGAUGGAAUGAACUAUUUUUUUUUAUUGUGAAAUGGGUGGAAUUUGAAGAAAUACAGCCCAGACGCAUGAAAACAGCUUGUUUGGAACUAGGAAAAACUAAAUACUCUAAAAUAUCGGUUGCUAAUUAGCAUUCUUCUCAAAUUGCAAAUAGAAUAAAACAUAACUAAUAGAAAAUAAACAGUAGGCAUAUAAUCACUACGUUUAUACAUCAAACAUGGGUUUUUUGUUUUUGGUUAAAUGAAACUAUUCAAGCUAUAAGGUCUUAAGAUCUAAAAGACAUCUUCAAAUUAAAUCACAUCUAAUUCAAGUAUAUAUAAGAUAAUGUUCUAGUGGAAAGGGUGGUUUGUAUGGACAUAGCAGUCUAUUAAACAUUUUUUGUGCACUAUCAUAAGUUUUUUGGCUCUGCAUUUCAAAAACUUGAUUUUAACAGUGGUGAUCAGAGCCAGGGAUUGAUUUAUCAAAACAACUACAUACAAAACAGAUACUUGCAUAAAGUAUUGCUGGGCUAUAUAUUCGAGCAAAUUACAGAUAAGAAAUUUAAUUAGUUUGGAGGUAGGGCAAAGUUCAUCAGUUAGAACUUGACAAAAUAACUGCUAGAUUACAUAUUUUUUUGUGUAGCUAACCUAUACUGGUUAUUAAAAAGUCCUUGGAAUUGUAAACAAGCCCAAGCCUAGUCUAUGGCUAUUGGAUUUUUUUUUUUUUUCUUUGCAGAUUAUCCUCAAUAUAACUAUGAGAUUGAGACUUUUACUUCCAAGGGUAACAUAACUACCAAAAAAACAUUUAAAACAAGUCACCACCACCCCCACCCCCC